CAGUUAUCACAGUGCUGAUGCUGUUCAUUCUCAAGGUACAGUACUGUGAUAACUGAA
rnacentral:pre_miRNA from 1 species